AUAAACGCUGGCGGCGCACAUAAGACAUGCAAGUCGAACGGAAGUCGUUACAAAUGGAAUGAAGAUUUAUCUGAAUGAAAUUUGUAACAAUGGCUUUAGUGGCGGACUGGUGAGUAACGCGUAAGGAACCUACCUUUUAGAGGGGAAUAACAAUGAGAAAUCAUUGCUAAUACCGCAUAUGCCAUGAGUGUUGCAUGACACAAGUGGGAAAGGAGCAAUUCGCUAGAAGAUGGCCUUGCGUCUGAUUAGAUAGUUGGUGGGGUAAUGGCCUACCAAGUCGACGAUCAGUAGCCGGACUGAGAGGUUGAACGGCCACAUUGGGACUGAGAUACGGCCCAGACUCCUACGGGAGGCAGCAGUCGGGAAUAUUGCGCAAUGGAGGAAACUCUGACGCAGUGACGCCGCGUAUAGGAAGAAGGUUUUCGGAUUGUAAACUAUUGUCGUUAGGGAAGAGAAAGGACAGUACCUAAGGAGGAAGCUCCGGCUAACUACGUGCCAGCAGCCGCGGUAAUACGUAGGGAGCGAGCGUUAUCCGGAAUUAUUGGGUGUAAAGGGUGCGUAGACGGGAGAGCAAGUUAGUUGUGAAAUCCCUCGGCUUAACUGAGGAACUGCAACUAAAACUACGAUUCUUGAGUGCAGGAGAGGUAAGUGGAAUUCCUAGUGUAGCGGUGAAAUGCGUAGAUAUUAGGAGGAACACCAGUGGCGAAGGCGACUUACUGGACUGUAACUGACGUUGAGGCACGAAAGUGUGGGGAGCAAACAGGAUUAGAUACCCUGGUAGUCCACACUGUAAACGAUGGAUACUAGGUGUAGGGGUUAUUAAGACUUCUGUGCCGUCGCAAACGCAAUAAGUAUCCCACCUGGGGAGUACGGCCGCAAGGUUGAAACUCAAAGGAAUUGACGGGGGCCCGCACAAGCAGUGGAGUAUGUGGUUUAAUUCGAAGCAACGCGAAGAACCUUACCAGGUCUUGACAUCCGACUAACGAGAUAGAGAUAUGUCAGGUGCCCUUCGGGGAAAGUCGAGACAGGUGGUGCAUGGUUGUCGUCAGCUCGUGUCGUGAGAUGUUGGGUUAAGUCCCGCAACGAGCGCAACCCCUGUUCUUAGUUGCCAGCAUGUAAAGAUGGGAACUCUAAGAAGACUGCCGUAGACAAUACGGAGGAAGGUGGGGAUGACGUCAAAUCAUCAUGCCCUAUAUGUCCUGGGCUACACACGUACUACAAUGGGUGUAACAGAGGGAAGCAAGAUAGCGAUAUGGAGCGAAACCCAAAAAGCACCCCCAGUUCGGAUUGAAGGCUGAAAUUCGCCUUUAUGAAGCCGGAAUUGCUAGUAAUGGCAGGUCAGCAUACUGCCGUGAAUACGUUCCCGGGCCUUGUACACACCGCCCGUCACACCAUGAGAGUUGGGGAUACCCGAAGCCUGUGAGCCAACAGUAAUGAGGCAGCAGUCGAAGGUAGAAUCAAUGAUUGGGGUG
rnacentral:rRNA from 1 species